rnacentral:ribozyme from 1 species
AAAAAAAACCGAAAAAAAAAAAAAAAAAAAAAGAGUGGGAAGAUGCCAAACAAAUCUGGAUGACGAAGCUUUUGGUUUAUUGUUUUCUUCUU